UAGGGAAUCUUCGGCAAUUUNACGGAAGUCUGACCGAGCAACGCCGCGUGAGUGAAGAAGGUUUUCGGAUCGUAAAGCUCUGUUGUAAGAGAAGAACGAGUGUGAGAGUGGAAAGUUCACACUGUGACGGUAUCUUACCAGAAAGGGACGGCUAACUACGUGCCAGCAGCCGCGGUAAUACGUAGGUCCCGAGCGUUGUCCGGAUUUAUUGGGCGUAAAGCGAGCGCAGGCGGUUAGAUAAGUCUGAAGUUAAAGGCUGUGGCUUAACCAUAGUAGGCUUUGGAAACUGUUUAACUUGAGUGCAAGAGGGGAGAGUGGAAUUCCAUGUGUAGCGGUGAAAUGCGUAGAUAUAUGGAGGAACACCGGUGGCGAAAGCGGCUCUCUGGCUUGUAACUGACGCUGAGGCUCGAAAGCGUGGGGAGCAAACAGGAUUAGAUACCCUGGUAGUCCACGCCGUAAACGAUGAGUGCUAGGUGUUAGACCCUUUCCGGGGUUUAGUGCCGCAGCUAACGCAUUAAGCACUCCGCCUGGGGAGUACGACCGCAAGGUUG
rnacentral:rRNA from 1 species